AUUGCCCUAGUAACGGCGAGUGAAGCGGCAACAGCUCAAAUUUGAAAUCUGGCUCUCUUUGGGGGUCCGAGUUGUAAUUUGCAGAGGAUGCUUUGGCAUUGGCGGCGGUCUAAGUUCCUUGGAACAGGACAUCGCAGAGGGUGAGAAUCCCGUACGUGGGCGCCUGCCUUUGCCGUGUAAAGCUCCUUCGACGAGUCGAGUUGUUUGGGAAUGCAGCUCUAAAUGGGAGGUAAAUUUCUUCUAAAGCUAAAUACCGGCCAGAGACCGAUAGCGCACAAGUAGAGUGAUCGAAAGAUGAAAAGUACUUUGGAAAGAGAGUCAAAAAGCACGUGAAAUUGUUGAAAGGGAAGCGCUUGCAGCCAGACUUGCCCGCAGUUGCUCACCUAGGCUUUGGCCUGGGGCACUCUUCUGCGGGCAGGCCAGCAUCAGUUUGGGCGGUUGGAUAAAGGCCUCUGUCACGUAUCUUCCUUCGGGAUGACCUUAUAGGGGAGGCGUAAUGCAACCAGCCCGGACUGAGGUCCGCGCAUCUGCUAGGAUGCUGGCGUAAUGGCUGUAAGCGGCCCGUCUUGAAACACGGACCAAGGAGUCUAACAUCUAUGCGAGUGUUUGGGUGUCAAGCCCGGGCGCGCAAUGAAAGUGAACGGAGGUGGGAACCCUUUGGGUGCACCAUCGACCGAUCCUGAUGUCUUCGGAUGGAUUUGAGUAAGAGCAUAGCUGUUGGGACCCGAAAGAUGGUGAACUAUGCUUGAAUAGGGUGAAGCCAGAGGAAACUCUGGUGGAGGCUCGCAGCGGUUCUGACGUGCAAAUCGAUCGUCAAAUUUGGGCAUAGGGGCGAAAGACUAAUCGAACCAUCUAGUAGCUGGGUUCCUGCCGAGU
rnacentral:rRNA from 1 species